CUUCUGAUAAUAAUUUAAGGUCUGGCCUGCCCACUGAUUAUUUAAAUGGCCGCGGUAAUUUGACCGUGCAAAGGUAGCAUAAUCAAUAGUUUUUUAAUUGAAAGCUGGAAUGAAGGGUUUAAUGAGAAAGUGACUGUCUCGGGCUAAUUUAAUUAGAAUUUUAUUUUUAAGUGAAAAAGCUUAAAUGUAAUUAGAAGACGAGAAGACCCUAUAGAAUUUUAUAUUUUUUUAUUUUUAUUAUCUUUGGUAUUAAUAUUUUGGAAAUUAAAAGGUAUUUGAUUGGGGCGAUUAAAAAAUUUAGUAAACUUUUUUUAUAUGGAAACAUUGAUUUAUGAAUAAUUGAUCCAUUUUUUAUGAUUAAAAGAUUAAAUUACCUUAGGGAUAACAGCGUAAUUUUUUCUGAGAGUUCAAAUCGAAGAAAGGGAUUGCGACCUCGAUGUUGGAUUAAAAUUAAUUUUUGGUGUAGAAGCUAAG
rnacentral:rRNA from 1 species